rnacentral:rRNA from 1 species
UACGAAGGGGGCUAGCGUUGCUCGGAAUCACUGGGCGUAAAGGGCGCGUAGGCGGCAGAUCAAGUCCGGGGUGGAAAUCCUCCAGCGUCAACUGGAGAAGUGCCUUGGAUACUGAUGUGCUCGAGGGAGGUAGGGGUCCGCGGAACGUUCUGGUGGAGCGGUGAAAUGCGGUUGAUAUCGAGAAGGAACGCCGGUGGCGAAAGGCGGCGGACUGG